UUUUUUUUUGUUUAAUAUCUAUGCCAAACUAAAGUUCAAAUAUGUGCGCACACACACACAUAGGAGAAAUUGAAUGAAAAUUUAUGAAGGCUACAGUUUAUGGAAUCUGACACUGCACAGUUGCUCUGGAGCCUUAAAAAAAAGGCCCCUUUUAAGAUUGUUUUGCAGACUCUCUUCUUAUGGAAUCUGCUAGAGUUACUCUUACUGUGAAUACACCCUUCCAACUUCAUUUUGAGUGGAACAUCCAGAGAGAUACAUUUCUGUAAUAGCAGUAUGCAAUGCAGCUCCAAUUGGAAGGACAUCCUCGUCAACGAAGAAAUGCGGGUUGUGAUAACAAUGCACCGAACCAACUUUCUCGUUUCUAAUACCAAUACCAAAGAUGACGCCAGGAACUAACUGUUGGUAGAAAGCAAAGUCUUCCCCUGCCAUGAUCUUCUCCCCGGGCUUCACAUUGUCUGGACCAAGCAAACUUCUGCCCACAUUCUCCACAUGGCGAUGCAGCCUCUCAUCAUUCACGACUGCGGGAUACAUUGGGUAGGAGGGAGCCCCCAAUAUCUCCGCAACUCCCUUGCAUCGAUGAACAGCUGCCUGCGCUUCUACUACCUGGAAAAUUCAAGAACAUUUAUUCAGGACCCUUCAAUUUGCAUUAUUACACCCAGGGUAAAGCUAUUUAAUACUCCCUCCGUUCCCAAAUAUUUGUCUUUCUAGAGAUUUCAAUAAGUGACUAUAUACGGAGCAAAAUAAGUGAAUCUACACUCUAAAAUAAGUCUACAUGCAUCCGUAUGUUGUGUCCAUUUGAAAUGCCUAGAAAGACAAAUAUUUGGGAACAAAGAAUUAGCCAUAUACAUACAGACAUUGUUAACUCCGUGCUGUUUGCUGUACAAAAGGAAUAGAAACAUGAAUUGCUAACCAUGGAAACAGGGCCAAUAGAUCAUGGCAUAAACGUGUUACAAUUGCAAGUUGUGUGGUUGAAAACUGAAAGCACAUUCAACUUUUGAGAGAAUGCAUAGAAGGUGCUCUCAGUGAUAUAAAGCUCUUUGCUCACAGAAAAAUAAAUUACGAAGGUACUGGUGAAGUGCUGAUUGCAGCAUACCAAUAUUAUCAUCAAAUGCUACUAUCUCUUAGUGAAUUAAUUUGUGCCAUAAUAAUGCUAACCUCCUUAAGCCUUUUCUCUAGUCGAUAAAGUCCUUCAGUAGUGAGGCUCCUCAAAGUACCUCCGAAUUCAACAACUGGAGGUGUGGUAUCAGUAUAAUUCCCAGCUUUAAUAUAGGUAACAGAGAGCACCUGAACACAAUAAAUAGACAGAUCAACCCGAGUAUCACAUUUUAGCGAAGAUGUUAUUUCCCCAUAUGAAAUCAUCACUGGAGUAGCAUUUCAGGUGCCACUUCAAUAUGUCCCAUAUGCCCAAAUUUAUUGUGAGAAAAAGACUUCCGUUUUUUUUCUUUUUGCGAAAUGAAAAAGACUUCCGUUUGUUGGCAUGAUCCGCUACGUUUUCUUUCUAGAUGACAUGCUUGAAGAAAAUCAGCUAAGCAAAGUAGUAUCACUAUAGGGCAAGGUCGUACUUGGCUGUGAAGAGGAUCAUCUUCUCUUGAGGUGAGCUGUUGCAGGGAGAGGAUGGUAAAUGCCGCAGCAACAAUAGGGUCCACAUUCAAGUGUGGUGUUUCAGCCUUCCCAGGUUUACCUUCUAUUUUCACUACAUAGAAACAUACGGCUGCAUGUGUCGGUCCUGCGUGAGCAGCUAUUGAACCCGUCGGCUUCUGACAAUCGACGUGCAUGGCAAAAAUAGCUUCAACACCAUUCAGAACACCUUCUUUUACCAUAUGAGAUGCACCAGCACCGCCCUCCUCAGCGGGUUGAAAAAGGAGUCUCACCGUUCCCUUCAUCAUACAAGACGAAUGUUACAUAAAGCGUAUAUACGUUAAUCUUUGUGACUUCUGAAAAGAGUUUAUUCGCAAAACUGACAGCAAACCAGCAAUUUAAAUAUGAAAUCGACACAAAAAUUCCGAUUUAAUGGCCAGUCUACUUUUUGAGGGAAUGGUCAUCCUACUUUGCUGAGUUAAGCCAUGACAUCUGACUACUCAUUUGGAUAAACAACAACAGAAUUGGUAAAAGCCAUGUGUUAACAUGAAACUGAAGAACUGACACAAGGGGGGGGGGGGGUAAGUGUUAACACAGCUGAAGUACUACUACUAAAUUCUGUCAAACUUAAAGCAGAACCAUAAACAAGAACUCACCUUAAGCUGAUCCUUGCGCUGAUGCAGCAGCUUUGCCGCUCCCAGGAGCAUCGCUGUGUGCGCAUCAUGCCCACACGCGUGCAUUACGCCAUCAACUCUGCUCUUAUGCUCCCACUCUACCAAUUCCUGCCAUCCCAAGUGCGCACAGCCAACAAAAUGUGAUCCCUCCAGUAAACAAUGGCAUACUAUCCGAGAGCAAGAGACAGUCACGAGAUUGAGAUCACAUGAAUCAAGCAGGCACGAUCAGUAGUAGUACAGUACCGAGAAGAUACAAUUCUGCCGUUCAGCACCAACCACACCGGUCACACACACCGCGCCAGACUACCGGAGUAGCAUCGGAGGGAAAGGGCACCCUGCGCCAGCCCGCAGUGUAGCAUCGGACGGGAAGAGAAGAGGGGAACGGACCUGGAUGGGCAGGGCAUCCAUGUCGGCGCGGAGGGCGACGAUCGGGGGCAGGCCCGAGCCGACGUCGGCGACGACGCCUGUGCCGGCAACGGCGCAGGCGGUGAUCCCUAGCCCCUCGAGCUCCUCGCGGACGAGUGCGCUGGUGCGGUGCUCCUGGAACGCGAGCUCCGGGUGGGCGUGGCGCACGCCGACAAUCCAGUCUCGCUCCCCCUCGGCGCGCCGAAGCAGCUCCUGUGCGUACUCCGCCGACGCGGUGGAGAGGAGCAGGAGGAGGCAGAGGAGCGGAGCGGCCAUGGUCAAGUGAAAGGUGGGGGAUGCUUUCGUUGACGGGGCGCGAAUGCUACAACAGACUCUAAAAUUAACAGGAAUGAAUCCCCCAAGAGCAAGAGAAGGAACAGCCUGUAGAACGGACAAAGAGACCUUUUUUUAUAUUUUUGCAGGAGAAACGUUCAAAACCAUGUACAGCUGUGAGUGAGCUGAAUGAACAACUACACUUCAUAUCUGAAAGUGAAAAGCACUCGCAAAUAACGCCAGUACUGACUUUAUAAUACGGACUUAGAGCAAAGAACAAAGGUAAAAAGGUAUUAUACCUCCGUCCCAAAUUACUUGUCUUUUACUCCCUCCGUCCCAUAAUAUAAGAGCAUUUUCGUCCCAUAAUAUAAGAGCGUUCCUAACACUUAGUGUAGUGUCAAAAAGGCUCUUAUAUUGUGGGACAGAGGGAGUACAUUUUUUCAGAUACGGAUGUAUCUGACACUAAACCAUGUCUACAUACAUCCGUCAAGACAAAGCCGAGACAAGUAAUUCAGGACAGAGGGAGUAAUAAGCUGGACAUCAGGACAAGUUGAGCAAGUACCAGUCUGUCUGUUUAUCAUUCUGAUGUCAAAUGAUAGAAGGAAACGAAGUACAGGAGGAUCUAGCCCGUUUGUUCAGAAACAAAACUACCGAAGGCCCGAAGCAUUCUACCGACAUGCCACUCGGAUCUCUAAGUGUCUCAGAUUCUCGUUGUAUUCAUAUAUUUUUGCUCAACUACCACUGUGUUCAUCCUAGCUGCCUCGGUGUGGAAUGUUGUUUGCUCUGGCUGUGCAAUCUGUUUGAAGAACAAGAUGACCAAAGGUGCCGCGGCUGGUGCUCCUCAUUUUGUUCCUAUGCUACUCAUGAUUCAUGAACCCUGCAGCAGAAAAUGAGUGAAACAAAUUAACGAAGGCGUUGAAGGUUUCAUUCAAUGGGAAAGAGAAGUUAAGCAUUAUUUGCACAUUAGUAUAUCUGCAAGCUUAUUACUGUGGAAAUAUCAACCCUGGAUGGGGCUGUGCAGUCUGAUUGUCUGCUGUCAGAUAUGGUACAUGGGGCUGUGCAGUCUGAUUGUCUGCUGUCAGAUAUGGUACAUGUACGAGACUUUGCAGUAUUCAUGCUAGAGGAACUUGGAUCAAGCUAAUGACCAUGCAUCAGAUGAGCUCGCGAUGGUACGGUACUACCAAUACAGAUGGACUCAUCUAAUGUACUAGCUUUCACCUUUCAGAAGAUAUCUAUGUAACAUAGCAUGCUGCAGCCUAUACAUAGCGCAUUAAGUUGCUAGCACAAAUGAAUUUCUGGAGAAAUAGGUUGAUAACUAAGUUCUCUUUUAAACUUAAAUUUUUCUUUCUAAAAAAAACUUCAAGAUCUUCCCCAUCAGCAACUAAGAGGACUUCCAACAUAAGCCAUUUCAAUUAUUUAUUUAUUUGCACAAACUGAUGCAUUUGAUGUUGUUCCAUGCUAAUUGACAAAUCAUGUCUCAACUGACAAGCAGAAACUGAGACACUUACAAAUCGACUAACAAGCCCUUCCUUUUUUUGCAACAUUUCUCUGUCGUAGUACUUUUUUUCUACUAAACUUUGGACAAACUGAUACCAACUUAUUAAUGUUGCGAAUUUGCAAUGCUGCAAUUCCCAGAUUUCAGCGUUCAAUCUCCUAUAUUCCAAUGUGGUUGACUAUGCAUAGUUAUCAACAAGAAGCAAUACACAGAAAAAAGUUUUAUAUUCCUAGUCACCGCCAUAGUGGCAAAGAAGUCAAGCAUUUUCACUGUUAUCAACUUAUCCGGUGCACACAUCCAACCCGACAUUUCCCCUUCCCUUCACAUUUUAUCAAGUCAUCAUGCUAGAGAGAUAAACAAUAUGGCCAGUACCCUCCAAACGGGAUAAGAGAAUUCAUAAUGCUACCUUUUUUUUCUUCUGAACUGAAGUAACUAGGAAAUAAAACAUCAAGUACAAAAAUCAGUAAUAAAACCGAGUAUAGACUACUAGAGUAAUUUCAGUAUCUUAGUCAUCCAUGUUUGAUUGCGUCAUAAUUUUAUAGAGAGAAAAUUUGGUUUAUCUGGGGGCACAACAUCAGCGGGUACAACAGUAAUGCAAUCAUUCUGUCACCGUGCUCAUUCGGCCAUUCCCCUCUCAUCGACACAGCCCAAGCACGCAAUUAUUCGCAUGGUUUCUGCAUCCAUGGCUAAUCCAAAGUAGCCUAGUAGUAAAUCAAUUGAAUUCCAAUCAGCACGUCAAAGCAGCAAGAGUCACCUUCAUCCUACGCAUGGAACUGCAGCAAGAGAUCCAUGGCGGCGCCCCGCCGCCGUUGCACGUCCAGCACCGGCUCGGCGGUGGCCUCCGGUCCCACGCAAGCGCCACUCGAACGCGGCCCGAGGGGCCACGAAGGCGGGACGGGCCGCUUCCGGCGCUUGUUCCCCUGCAGGGCGCACUCCCGGAGCCCGUCCUCCACCUCCCCGAUCAUCGGCUCCGCCGCCUCGCCGCCAUCCGCCAUGGGCUGAUCGUUGUCUGACGGGACAGCGGCGGGCGCGUCGAGGCGGGAGAGGAAGCUGCCGAUGGCGGCGUGAGCGUCGCGGAGGGUGGCAGCCGCGGCGGCUGCGGCCGAGGAGGAUGAUGGCGCGGAGAGCGCGGCCGCGGCCUCGGCGGCCAGGCGGAUGGCGGUGGCCAGGUCGGUCAGCGGCGGUGCCUGUCGCGGCGGCGGGAGAUCGAGCUCCAUGGCUGGCCCAGCGAGGUGUGGCGAGUCGUGACGGCGGCGGCGGCCCGGCCGAUGCGAACAGAUGGAGGAAAGAAUCGUCGCGCUGGCCAGGUUUGGCGUUGUAGCGGCGGGGAUAAAACUUCCAGAAGGGUCGACAUAAUGAUCAGUUACGUGGUGCUUACGUGUACACAAAUAUAGUAACAAAUGAAACGUGUGCUAGCAAAUCAAAACGUUCCUUCUUGUCCCUUAAAAUUUGAACCAAUCUAAGUUGGAUAGUUAGAAGGACACUGGUAUCCUUCGCCUAUCAGAAUGCAAAUCAUAUACUUACGCAUAGUUAUGUUGUAGACAAUAACGCUUCGAGCGGGGGUGGUUAGCCAGACGAUCUCAAGGCGAGCAAUGAGUCCCUUUGUGCGCCGUCGGCGCCGCCGCUGGUUCCCUCUCCCUACGUCAGCCGCUCCAGCGGGGGAGGAAGGGGGAACCUCGUAUCCGUGUGUCCUAUGUGUUCUCAGUAGGGUUAGGGUUGAGGGAGUCACUGCCGAGGCCGUCGUGGCACCGACGCAUCUGAAUAAGUUUUUCCGGGCUUCGUUCAUGGUGAGACGGGGCUCCUACCUUCGUCUAGGAGCCAGCGGGGUGGGGGAUCCCCGGGUCUCGUUGAGGUGCGGCCUAUGGUAUCUGGAGGUUGGCCGGCACUGGCCGGUUCGGUCCACGGGCGGGUGGUGGUUGUGUGGAGACGAAGAUUCUUCUUUCUUGUCAGUAUGAUUUUCUGUUUUUGUUCUUCCUCCUUCUUUGUGUUGUCGCUGGAGAGAUGUCCUGCUUUGCUCAGGCGGUUGGCCCGGCCGCGGUGUCGAAAUCGGAUCCUAGUUCUCUUUUAUCUGGAAGGCGCUCAUAUAGCGAUACUCAAAGCCACAGAUGGUGAAGGCUGGUGCAGGCGUGUUGGAUGCGCAUGUGUGUCCUUAUCUUUUUGACGACAGAGCGUAGGAGUGGGGGAGUAACAUGGCAGUGUUUAUGUCGUGGUUGAAGAUGAGGACCUACUUGGGUCUGGAUACAGAUUAUUGUGGUACAGGGGUCUCCUCACAAGGUUCAGGAAUGAUGACACAGAGCUUUGAAGGGCUUCGUGUUUUGCUGGUUGUUUUAGGGUGCUCUUUGUUAUUUUGGUUUUUUAUGCGUGUGUUAGGAUGUGCUUGUUCAGAUUAAAAACUUUGUAUUAUGUCCAUACCUUCUCAAAAAAGUCAUACACUUACAUUGGUGCUCGGCUGCUCACAUUUUUCUGUAUUUAUUUUAGGCCUUCCGAGAGGACGUUCAAUGGGGGGAGACAUUCCCGUCGACUACGAAGACGUCUAUGAUGACUUUAUCAAUCUCAAAAUGAUGUGCAAAUUCAGUCUUUCAAAGAUGCUCAUAGAGGUAGGGUGUACGUGCAUGUGUUUAUAGAGGUGAGCAUAUGUGUGUCGUAUGCAUCUAUACCGUGUUAAAAACAUCCAUCUAAAUAUAACGUUGUUUUGCCUUCCUACGUGUUGUUGAUCUUGAUACUAAAUAUUGAGUUUGUGAUAGCUGAUGACCUGCGCAAUUUAGUUCCUCUUGAUUAUUCUUUAAAUUUGCGGUUUUCACAAUUCUACAGUGCCUAAAAUUGUUCUUUUGUCGAUCGAUUUUCUGCAAAGCAGUGAGACCGAAGACUAUAGGAUCACAAGUAGGUCUAUAAGGAAGUGAUUAGACUACUUGACUAAAUAAUAACUUAACAAUUUCUUAAUUUAGUUGGAGGCAAAUUUUAGCAAUUCUCACAAGUUAAGCAACAUCUUAGACAUGCAAGUCUAAAGAGUAUGGAGCGGAAAGUAAAGACUUUGCAUAUGAACGUAAUGAGGGAUCAGAGAAAUCAAACGCACUAAAGGCACUGUGAUUUUUUGGCGUGGUUUCCAUAGGUGGUGCUAUCGUACGUCCAUGUUGAUGGUGACUUCAACCCGCGGGAGGGUAACGGCUGGGCGAGUCCAUGAAGGGCUCCAUACACGAAGGGUUCAUGAAGAAGCAACCUUGUUUAUGCCAUCAUGGCUUCCGUCCACGAAAGACUAGCCUCACUCCGGGUAGAUCUUCACGAAGUAGGGGAUCUUAUUGCCCUUACAAACUCCUUAAUAGUUCAACUCCACAUGAUUUUGAGGCUCUGAAGAGACACCUGAUCAAUCUAGGAGACACCACUCUCUAAAAGGUAAUAGAUGAUGUUGUUGAUGAUGAACUCCUUGCUCUUGUGCUUCAAAAGAUAAUCUCCUCAACACUCAAUCACUCUCUCACAAAAUUGACAUGGUAGUAGGAGAUCCCCUCGUGUGUGUGUGUGUGUGGAGAGCUAAACAUGAAUUGAUUCAAAAAAGACAUUUAAAGGAAUGUAGGAUUACAAUCUUAUGAAUUUUUCAUAUAUGUCAUUUGAAUUAUGUAGAAAUUAUUCCUAAGUAUUCCCUUGCAAAUAAAUCUUUUAUUUUCCUUGCGAUGUAAUCAUACAAACCAAAACCUUGUAGGAUCAUGAAUAGAUAUGAAAUUCUAAUCCCACUAUUUUUCUAUUCCAACAUUGUGGUAUUUUUCUCUCUCUUUCUUUUAUGUUUUUCUUGGACGUGUUUGCGCUAAUGUCCCAGCAGUCUAUUUUUGACUAGUACUGUACUUGAACCUUUUGUAUGGACGUGUUGAUGACUUUAUUAUGAAGCUGGAUGAAAGCCUAUUACGAGAGUAUCUGACCUCCAAUGAUUUUGCUAGGGGACAUCUGUAUGCUCUUGAUGCAUUUUCCAAUAUAUGGUGGGUGAAUCAGGGCAACUGGACAUGUGUGCUCCAACAAAUUCAUGGCUCGUGAAGUCGUGAUCAUCCUUGUUCAUGAGCAUUCAGCCUUUGUUCUUCCUGACAAAGUAUCUCAUAUGCUACAUGCACAUCUGCUUGCAUAGGAAGAGUAUAAUCCGGUAGACAAGGCCCACCCGAACCGAAACAUCCUGGUUCAAAUUCUCAGUUCUCUUAAGAGAUGGAUAGGCAAACUACCAAUGCAAUGACGCGCAAUCAGCUGCCUCCGGAGUCUGGAUCAAAGAUCAAUGUGGGAAGCACGAGACAAUACAGCGGUGAGAAAUGGCAGUUGCACAUAUCCUGAAACUGAAUGUACAUGCGGCUAUGGAGCAUACAGAUAAACUAUAAAGCCCACACUGCAGAAAUUUCCUACUGCGAAAUAGGAAAUGCGCCAGUAAGACUACUUGUCAGUGGCAUUUUAAUCCGGGCCACAACAGCAGAAGAUCGAAACUCCAUAUGUACAAUUAAUUUGAGUACGACCCGUUACAGCUGCAUGCAUUAUAUGCUUUUCCUGAUCUAUUGAGUUCUCUGGCUUCUGGAGGUGGCUCUCAGCGUCAACCAUCAGCGAGCUGUUAGAGGAUCGUCCUCCUCACCACCACAAGCUGAUACAUCAUACAGAUUGAUUAGGAUGAAGUUAGACAAAUCUCUAGACAGUAUAAAGAUCAUGAAUCAGAGCAAACGUGGCAGCUUUUUUAGGUAAAAAGGAACAUGGCGAUGACAUGGAACAACACAGAGGUUGUAAAUUUGCAAUCUCCUAAAGUGCUGAAGAUAUGUGGAAAGGGGCAAGGAACAUCAGCUGCAGCUCCAGCUUAUUUGUAACAAAAACAAAUUACUACAUAAUUUGAAGACAGGACUGCAAUUAGCUAUAGCUCGUAUUUUGUGCAAAAGAAGAUAACGUAAAAAAAUGAAAAGAAGAAGAUAACAUAAAUUUUGAAAUAACAGACAGAGACAAACCAAAGGUUCGGUCACUAGAUUACACUAUUCAUGUAUAUGUGAUGGACUAGUUGGGAUAGGAAAAUGGUCAUAGGACAGGGUAUUUGGCACGCUCCCUCUUCAAUCCGGCGGCAGGCUCAUCCCUAAUGCAGAAGAGAAACUCUGAGGCUUAUUCAAACUUUUGUUCAUUGAUUGCAUGAAAAAAGGUUAAAAUGCCAGCUUGUUUAUACAGCAUAGCCUUGACCCAAACUAAACUACGUGAACAGCCAAACUGGGUUCUAGCUCACUGGAUGCCUAUGGAGUAAAACCAACCGACUCAAACUAUGUCUUACCUAAAACAAUUCAAACUCUUCUGUAUCUCCAACCUGUCUGUCUAUCUAGAUAUAUAGACCUGCUAUUAUCCCAUCAUACAAGGAUACAACUCUUCAGUUCCUAAACAUCUCAUCUCCUAAUGACUAUCUUCCACCUGUCCAAAUCUCCUUGAUAUUCACGAUAACUUAGGUGUUCCUCCUGCUUGUUUUUCUACGGCCGACCAACCAGCCGUAACUCUUCUACAGAUAAAGGGGUGUGUUUGACCUAAAGCUCAUAACAGUACACCAAGAUUGCCCUUCCAAUUUACAUAUCCAGGGUGUGGUAAUUCUUUCCGCAUCUUUUGCUUAGAAGUUUAUUACUCCACAAAACAACUUUCAUAGGACAUCAUACUAAUUUUGAAACGAGAAUAGGCAGGACGAACUGCCUAUCUUGGACUUAGAAAGUGUGGACUUGACCACCAAGAUCCCGUACGAUACCACUAAGCCACGUAGGUGUCACCUGGACGACACGUUAUGAACACCAAAAUUCUGGACCUUAGCUGUUUCUGACAAUCAACUCAUCAUGGAACCAGAUGCCAAGUGUUCAAUUGAUGUUAUGCACAUACGGAGUAGUUUUUACUGGAUGAGUGUCCAUUUUCUAUAUGCAUUUUUCAAAGCUAUUUGCAGGGUCUAUGCCACCACUCGUGCCUGGCUAGGAUCUGAAAUCGAGUUGUUGAAACUCUUCAUUGUAAGCAUUUCAAGAUGAACAAGGCAAGCCUAUGACCUGCAGCAACUUAUGAUUUUCCUACCAAGCCACCAAGAGUAUCCUCUGUCCUCCAAAAAUUACCCUUUAAUCCAGUCUAUGUACAAUUUCAACAGGCAUGGGGGGAAGCUAGAUACAUCUCCAAUGCUACUGGCCAGAAUCAGGAGGUGCUAAGGGUGUGCUUGGUAAAGGGAAAACCCUGGAUGGGUCAUGGAUAUCUGUUAUGACCGGCAUAUUAGGGGCUUAGCCCAGUGGGCUGUGGCCCAAGUUAUCUUAUUGUUAUUAGGGGCUUAGCCCAAUUAUCUUAUCGUUAUUAGGAUCAUUUGCUUACGAGUCAAGUAAACCUCUCUAUAUAAGGAGAGGAGAUGUAUCAAUCUAAUCAAGCAAAGAAGCAAUCAUUAUUUGCUCGGCUUCCCUUAGGGAGCCGGGAGACCUAACCGUAGCCGCCUCUUGCGCCGCCGCCGCCUCUCCCUCUCGCGCACGACGGCGCCUUGCCGCCGGCGACCGCGAGCUUCGCCACGUCCAGCCCCUCCUUCCCCUACAACCUACGCCCUAGACCCGGUAGGGUCCCAGCUCCUACCAAUAUCCAUCUCGUAUCAGAAGUAUUCAGAUUCUUCAUGAGAGGUAUUCAGGUUUCAGAGGGACAUGGUGACAUUCAAACUCAAAGUAUAGUCAUCCAUUGUUUAGUCUAGGAUGUAAUCUGGCUACGAGGAUUUCAACAAAAAAUGGAUAAUCAGAAUAACCUGAGUCAUUCACACUUGACCACAUGAUGAUUUCAAAUGAUUAUUUUAUCUUCAACAUAUUAAUUCACUAUGUUAAACUAGAAACUAAACAAGUUCACUACUUGUAUCCUGAAAAUGGACUGGUUCACAAUAACACAUCAGUAUUCUUCUACAACAAGAAGAAGAGGCAAUACAUAAGCAUUAUUCAUACAGGCAACACAUGAGAUAUCUCUACACACCACACCUGAACUUGAUACAUGAGAUAUCUUUAUAUACCAGGGAGGACCCCCCUGGAAAAAUAAUCCUAAGGAAAAAGGAAGGACCGUCAAGCUGGUGAGUGAACAAUGAAAUAAUCAAAUCACACAUCCAAUCCAAAAAGUUUGUAUCCCCUACUUCCAAGAAAGCAAGAGCACAAAAUCAAGGGGCUCUAACAGCCUAGUUCCACGGUUUCAGUAUCAACUAAAUGUAGCUACUAGCUAGAAAAGCUGACUAUGAUCAUGGCUAAAAUACUCUGCCUGCCUCCAAUAAAGAUGGUCUCCACAAGGAUAUUAGGAGUAAUACUAACAUAUCCCGUCACAACUCUUCUUAGAAAUUAACAAACACGACAUAAGUUGCAACAACUUUAAUUAUUUGACAAACAAAACAGUGACCAUGAUGGGAGCUAAAGAUUAAAUCUAGCGUUCCAUGUGUCUACCGGAUUAUCUUAUUCGAUUGGUAUUAAACCUAUCCAAAAAGUUGAGUGCACUUUCAGGAUAUGCUUUCUUAUACCUGAUUAAUAUAAGCAAAAGCAUAAUCCGACGCCCUAAUAAGCUAACGAGGCAGAAGUGCAGAACCAAUUCAAAUUGACCAGAAAGUGAACCCCGGCGAUACCAAAUCAUGGUAUCAAGGCAUCAGAUUGCACAUUCCAGUACCAUCUCAAUCCUAAGCGAUUUCAUCAUCAGCCACAUCCACAUGUGAGUUUUCUUGUACUUCUUAUUUGUUUUUAAAAAUUUGGUUGGGAGGGCAACAACAUGCAUAAUUUGGCAAUGAAAUGCUGAACUGUAACGCAUUAUGGUUAAUAAAUGGCAUCAGCAGGACGUACCGCCGCAGCAGAAGCAGCAGCAGCAGCACGAGAGGAGCAUGGCGGCGUCGCAGGCGAGCUCGAACGCGGUGGCCACCAUCGACGACGAGCGGCCCUCGAGCAGCGGCACCUGCUGUUCGUCCCCGUCCUGGCCCUGCCGCCCCUGCCCCUGCCCCUGCGCGCGCUUCUUGUGGGCGAGGUUGAACUCCAGCUUCUCCAGGUAGGCGUGCUUGAACGAGUCCCGGAUCCGGAGCGACGGCCACAGGUGCAUCUUCGCCGGGCGUGCAGGGGGCGGUGGCGGGGGCUGGCCGGGCCGGGGAUUGUCUUGAUCUUAGGGAUCACGGGGGUCGGCGCGGAGGAAGACGGAGGAGAAGCGUCAGAUUUUGGCUUCGCCUUGAUUGGGACGGUGCGGGUUGCGGAUUUGGGAUUGGAUGACGGGACGACACGGCACGGCACGCCGAUGGCAAGCAUGCGCCGGUCUGGGUCGUUGCGCGGUGGUGGGAUCUGCGAGAGCGAGACCUCCUCUUCGCGCUCACGCGCUGCUCGCCUGUGCCUGCCUGGCCCAACAAAGGCCGAUGGUCCCUCGCGUCUCUCGCUCUCGGCUCGGGUCGAUGGUUGAUCGGUCAGCGUUAACCGGUUACCUGACCAGUCAACUGUUUUGACUUUUGUAAAAAAUAAAUCUGAAAAUUCGGGGGAAAAUAUUUCUUUUAAAGAAUCAUAGAUUUGCAAUAAAAGUUUAUGAAAUGGAAACGCUCAGCAUCAACCGGCUGAAAACAAUUGACGCGUCCACCACCUCCUUUAAGUGCCACGUGCCCUCAAUGCCCGCUAAAAGAAACACGAGACGUACCUCUUCAUCUAGAAAACAUCGUGUUCCUCUCUCCGUCUUUCGUCUCUAUGUUUUCUGCAACAUUAACUAAGUUGUAAAAGUUCUUCCACAACAUUACCCUUGUUGCAGAAAGAAAGUGAAGACAGAAAAAAAAUCCCACAGCACAACCAAUGUUGCAAAAAAUAAUCCCGCAACACAACCUAUGUUGCAAAAAUAAUAAUCCCACAACACAACUUAUGUUGCAACAAAAUUCCGCAACACAACCAGUGUUGCAAAAUGUUUCUGCAACAGGACCUUUGUUACAAAGCAGAAGGUGGUUAGUCGCAAGAUUGAUCAGAUUCGAUGGUUCGUCAGGUGACGGAUCUUGUAAAAAGAUCCACUGAGCGACGCGUAGCAGGUUCCUUAUGAAAUUUGGAAAAAGUUCACAUAUUUUUUUUGAAAAAUUUGUAACUUGAAAAAAGAUCCUUGAUUUUGGAAAAGUUCAUCAUUUUUUUAAAGUUCACGAAUUUGAAAAAAGUUCAUUGGUUUUGAACAAAAAAUAAUCAAAUUUGGAAAACAAAUCAUGAAUUUGAAAAGUCCAUCGAUAUUGAAAAACAAAAUUCAUGAAUUUGAGAAAAGUUUGCGGAUUUUGAAAAAAAGUUCAUAAAAAUCGAAAAUAAUUUGUGGAUUCGAAAAAAAAAAUCAUGGAUUUGAAAAAAGCCCAUAUGUUUUGUAAAAAAAUUCAUGAAUUUGAAAAAAAAAUUCACACAGUUGAAAUAGAGAAGAGAAACAUANNNNNNNNNNNNNNNNNNNNNNNNNNNNNNNNNNNNNNNNNNNNNNNNNNNNNNNNNNNNNNNNNNNNNNNNNNNNNNNNNNNNNNNNNNNNNNNNNNNNNNNNNNNNNNNNNNNNNNNNNNNNNNNNNNNNNNNNNNNNNNNNNNNNNNNNNNNNNNNNNNNNNNNNNNNNNNNNNNNNNNNNNNNNNNNNNNNNNNNNNNNNNNNNNNNNNNNNNNNNNNNNNNNNNNNNNNNNNNNNNNNNNNNNNNNNNNNNNNNNNNNNNNNNNNNNNNNNNNNNNNNNNNNNNNNNNNNNNNNNNNNNNNNNNNNNNNNNNNNNNNNNNNNNNNNNNNNNNNNNNNNNNNNNNNNNNNNNNNNNNNNNNNNNNNNNNNNNNNNNNNNNNNNNNNNNNNNNNNNNNNNNNNNNNNNNNNNNNNNNNNNNNNNNNNNNNNNNNNNNNNNNNNNNNNNNNNNNNNNNNNNNNNNNNNNNNNNNNNNNNNNNNNNNNNNNNGCGUCGAAUAGGAUUUGGCAGAACCUACACUCGUCACUAGAAAAUGCGCCGACAUAGUGGAACACAUACCUGGCCAUAUGGGCCAUGCCUCCCGGGCCGACCCGUGAGCACGGAUUUUUGGCCUGACAUUGGUUGGGCAUAUCAUGCGAGUAAGAGGGUCAGACCGGCCGACCUUCGACCGGCCAUGGAACAAGGCCGAUCCUUGAAGCCAGGCCUUAAGGUCCAGCACAACACGAUCCUUUUAUAUUUUUUGUAUUUUUCUUAAAUUUUUAGAUUUUUUUGUAUUUUCCUUAGAUUUUUAGACCGGAACGCAACAAUGGCCAACUUGCAACUAUGUCAUGUAGGGCUGGUUUUUUAUUUGGCGUGCCAGGCCAAUCCCAUGGCCAGGCCUUUGGGUGUGCCGACCCAUAUGGCCAAGUUUGGUGGGACUGUGACGGGAGGACGUUGGACGGCUAGGACAUCAGCUCAUGAUGAGGAUAUAAUGUUUUUUUUUUUUUUUUAUAAAUAUUCUAGUGAAGUUUCAAUUAGUGAUAUUCUCAGCCUCGGUUUUGUGAUUGCUGAAUGUUGUAAAGAAUUAAGCGCAAGAAUGGGAGAAAACAUAAUAUUGUGAUUCAAGGGUCCAGAUGUGAGUACUUGAGAGACGUCGACGAUGAGUGAAGCAAGAGGGUUCCCUGGGGUGCUUUGAUCCACCGGGCAUAUGCACUGAAAAUGGGAGAGUUACCCGUGGCAGAACAUGAGCAAUUCAUCAGUCAUUGACAUGAUCCAACGAUCAUACUCAAAGCGGUUUCAUCCAAAGAUAUAUCAAUUUGGACUUUCUCCUUUGGGAUGCCUAGCUCAAGCAACUAGAUCAAUGCAUUGUAAAUAUAUCAUCGAUUUGCAAGGGUGGUUGCGGUGGAAACUCCACCAUGCAACUUCAAAGUCGAUGGUCAUAACUAUAAGUCUAUAAUGUGGGAUACUGCAUCAAGAUGCCAUUUAUUUCGCUUGACCAAACUUUUUCGAAACAAUAUCAAACCCUCAAGGUAAUAAUAGAGUCCAUAAUGCAAGGUUUUGUGGGAACAAUUGUGAUCCAUGAGAGAGUUACUAGCUGACACCACAGAUUUCUUGAGAUCCACCGAAGGAUAGAAGACGUCUCAUUAGAUGAGUAUCUCCACGACGACCUUGUUGAGCAUAUAUACAUAUGUGACAGUAACAUGCGCAACAGUUUUGUGACAUUUCAUCAUUUUUAUUUAGAUUAUCUAGUACAUUUUGGAGCUCAUGGUAUAAUUGAAUUUCAAAAUCUCAAAAUUAUGAAUUUGAAAAGUUUUUCAAUUAUGCGUUGUAGAAACAUACAAGUUUGAACUUUUAGAUGUAAAAUUGGAGUUAGAUGAAGUUCAUAUGCAUGAAGAGGAGAUAAAUGGAAGAUAAUGCAGUAUAUGCGCUAAAUUACUAGGAAUUGUCAAAGGAGUGCUCCCUCAAAAGAUGAUUUUUAGGGGCUCCACUAAGACCAUUUUAGGAUCACAUAUCGAUAUGUUUUGAUGAUUUUUUUGGUUAAAAUUUGUCAUGUCUAUUGCACAUAAAUUGACAUGAUGUUUACAAUGAAGUUGUCACGAUAUGUUUGAACUACUUUUUGUUCUACAGUUAAAGUAAAUUUUGACAUGUUCUAAAAAAGAGAAUUAAGAAACUAAACUUGCCAUGGUGAAUUACAAAAAAUUGCCAUGAUCCAUGAAAUAAUUUUGACAUGGUUCAUAGUAAAAUAUAAAUCCAUCAUCAAUUACUUUAAAAAUGCAUGAUUAAUGAUUCAAAUUUGUCAUGAACCAUAAACUAAAAUUGCCACAGUGAAUUACUUAAAAUUUUCAUGAUACAUGCACUAAAAUGUGCCAUGGUUCGUACAAAAAAUAUUUUUCAUGGUCAAAAUACUAGAAUUGCCAUAGUCAAAAUACUAAAAUUGCCAUGAUCUAUAAACUAAAAUUGUCAUGAUCUAUAAACUAAAUUUGCCAUAAUGAAUUACUAAAAAUUUCCAUGAUCCAUGAAUUAAUUUUGCCGUGGUUAAUUACUAAAAAUCUUCAUGGUCAAUUAAUAAAAUUUACCGUGAAAAGUAGUUGAAAUAAAAUGGUAGCUUUAAAUGUAGAAGAAAAUACUAGAUGGAACAUAUCAUGGCAACUUUAGUGUAAACACUAUAGCAACUUCAAUGUAAAUAUCAUGGCAACUUUUGGCCCAAAAAAGGUCGUCGAAACAUAUCAAUAUGAGAUCUAGUUUUGAUGAUCUCGUCGAGACGGGUUUAAUGAUGAAGCGGAUUUUUAAUUGGAUUUUUAUUUAAGAGAUAAAACAUUUUGAGUCCGAAAAACCAAAAAGAUUCUGCUGAUUUCAUCUGUUUGAUGUGGCAAGAUGGAUGGUAAUGAGGCAUUUGGACUAUGUUGCUUCAUGGCACACGUGAGGCACUUAGCAUUUGGGUAUUUAAAAUGAUGAAAUUGAGGUGAUUAUUAGAUAAUAGAUAAAAAAACAAAAACGAAAGAAAAACGACCAUAAAGCCCGACUCGCAGUCCAACACACGUUGCACCCGUCGGGCCAUCGGCCCAUGCCAUCCAUUCCGAAUGCAAAUGGAGGCACCUGUGGACGGACAUUCCUAUUUGACGCAUCCUGCGUCAAACUGAGGCUGUUUUGCACAGGGAGAUAGAGCGAUGUUCGAGUUAGGCCGGCCCGUUUAAGCGUUUCGACGUCCCCAGUGUUGGGAACCUUCUAGAGGUUCCCAACCGGUUUUUUUUCCAGGAAAUUUCUACAAGUUUCCAAAACUGUUUUUUCUUGUUCUUUUUUUUUCACUUUCCUUUUUCCCUUUUCUUUUUUUCUUGUCUCUCUUUUGUUCCCUUUUCUGUUUUUUCUUUUUUCUAUUUCCUUUUCUCUUUCCUUUACUUUCAUUUUAAUGUUUCAUUUUCAAUUUAAUUUUUGUUUCUUAAAAACAUGUUUUUUUUAAAUCAUCGUUUGUUCAUAAAUCCAAAAAAUGUUCAUGAUUUUACAAAAAUGUUUGUAUUUUUCAAUAAACAUUCGGAAUGUUUCGGUUCAGAAUGUUCACAACUUUUCAAAGAAUGGUGCCCUUGUAAAAAAUGUUCAAUUGUAGAAAGACCAUAUUUAAAAAUUGUUCGCAACUGUCCAAUUUUUCAGGAGUUCAAAAAAUGUUCAUGUUACAAAAAAUGUUUGCAAAUUUUAAGCAAUGUUUGUGGUUUUCAAAUUUAGUUCAGAAUGUUUUUCUUUGAAAUGCUCACAAAUUUCAAAAAUAGUUCAAUUUUUUUGAAAAUGUUCAUGUUUCCAUUUUUCAAGAGUAUGAAAUUUUUUUGCUUUUCAAAAAUUGUUCACAAAUUUCAAAACAUAUUCGUGUGUUUAUAAAAUUGUUUGUAAGGUUACUAAAAAAAUAUUCAAUUGCAUAAACAUGUUCAAUUUAUUUUCAAAACAUGAACAUUUAUUUUCUUUUUUCUAUUUCCUUUUCUCUUUCCUUUACUUCCAUUUUAAUGUUUAUUUUCAAUUUAAUUUUUGUUUCUUAAAAACAUGUUCAAUUUCAUAAAUCCAAAAAAUGUUCAUGCUUUUACAAAAGUGUUUGUAUUUUUCAAUAAAUGUUCAGAACGUUUCGGUUCAGAAUGUUCACAACUUUUCAAAAAAUGUUUCCAUUAUCAGAAAACGUUCAAUUGUAGAAAAACCAUAUUUCAAAAAUUGUCCGCAACUGCCAUUUUUUUAGGAGUUCAAAAAAUGUUCAUGUUACAAAAAAUGUUUGCAAAUUUCAAACAAUGUUUGUUUUUUUUAAAUUUUGUUCAGAAAAUUUUUCUUUGAAAUGCUCACAAGUUUCAAAAAUAGUUCAAUAUUUUUGAAAAUGUUCAUGUUUCCAUUUUUUAAGAGUAUGAAUAAUUGUCAGCGUUUCAAAAAUUGUUCACAAAUUUCAAAACAUGUUAGUGUGUUUAUAAAAUUGUUUGUAAGGUUACUAAAAAAAUAUUCAGAACUUAAAAAAAAUGUUGCUGUUUUCAAUAAUGUUAAAAAAUGUUCAUGUUUUCAUUUUGUGGGUUUCGAAAUUUUUUCAGAGUUUUUGAAAAAUGUUCAUGUUUCAAAUUUUCUUUGGAGCUUAAAAAAAAUGUCCGCCUUGCGUUGUGGAACAAAAAAUGUUCCUGUUUCAAAAAUUGUUCACGGUUUUCAGAAAAUGUACAGUUUUUAAUGAUUUGAGCUGCCUUAGAAAAAAAUGCAUUCGAUAUUUCAGAAAUAUUUCGAAUCUGCAUUGGGGUGUGGUUCUUAAGAGUUUUUGUUGCCUUACGAUCAGCAAAGCUCGUUAGCUCAGCUGGUUUGUAUUGCCUUGCCUCAUCGGACGAGAUAUGGGCUUGAUACAACUUGAGGGCGCAAUUUGUUUCGAGCUAUAAAUCGUAGCCUGUCGCUACCUUCAUGGGCUGGCCCAGUCGUAGACUGCCUUGUGCGUGCGUUCGGCAACCUGCCGCAGAGAGCAGCAGAUAGGAGCUCCCCCGUGGACCGUACAGAUUUGAUCAGAUUUGCUGGCAUAGGGACGAGUACGAAACAUGCAAGCAGCUCACAACCCGAAUCGUACGUACACAUUGCAUUUCAAAUUUCCCCCCAAAUUACCUUGGAUGCAUACAUGACAGUACAUCAUCCUCAUCGUUCACAGAUAGUACAUGGAAUGGAAGCAAACACUAACGAAGACACACUCGAUCGGUAGAGAAAACAAGCAGCAAACGCGGCGGCGAGCUGCGGAAAACAGAGACGCGUGCAAAGACCAGCAGAAUCCAGGACCCGAACAGCAGCACACACUGGAGGCCCUCUGUCCUCUGAUAUAUCUACAGUUCAGUGCCUCCGACCAUCACCGAGACGGCGGCCGGCCGAUCUAGCGGCUGCCGAAGGAGGCGGACGAGCCGAACUUGGUGGCGCUGGCCCUCAGCACGUACUGGUGGUACAAGGCGGCGAUGGCGGCGCCGAUGAAUGGCC
rnacentral:lncRNA from 1 species